rnacentral:tRNA from 1 species
UAUUAGAUGACUGAAAGUAAGUACUGGCCUCUUAAGCCAUUUUAUAGUAAAUAACAAUUACUUCUAAUAA